rnacentral:rRNA from 1 species
AUUGAACGCUGGCGGAAUGCUUUACACAUGCAAGUCGAGCGGCAGCGCGGGGCAACCUGGCGGCGAGCGGCGAACGGGUGAGUAACAUAUCGGAACGUACCCAUUGGUGGGGGAUAACACAUCGAAAGAUGUGCUAAUACCGCAUACGACCUGAGGGUGAAAGGGGGGGAUCGCAAGACCUCUCGCCGUUGGAGCGGCCGAUAUCGGAUUAGCUAGUUGGUGAGGUAAAGGCUCACCAAGGCGACGAUCCGUAGCUGGUCUGAGAGGACGACCAGCCAAACUGGAACUGAGACACGGUCCAGACUCCUACGGGAGGCAGCAGUGGGGAAUUUUGGACAAUGGGGGCAACCCUGAUCCAGCCAUUCCGCGUGAGUGAAGAAGGCCUUCGGGUUGUAAAGCUCUUUCGGCAGGAACGAAACGGUGGCUACUAAUACUAGCUACUAAUGACGGUACCUGAAGAAGAAGCACCGGCUAACUACGUGCCAGCAGCCGCAGUAA